rnacentral:rRNA from 1 species
AUUGAACGCUGGCGGCAGGCUUAACACAUGCAAGUCGAACGGUAACAGGCCGCAAGGUGCUGACGAGUGGCGAACGGGUGAGUAAUGCAUCGGAACGUGCCCAGUCGUGGGGGAUAACGCAGCGAAAGCUGCGCUAAUACCGCAUACGAUCUAUGGAUGAAAGCGGGGGACCGUAAGGCCUCGCGCGAUUGGAGCGGCCGAUGUCAGAUUAGGUAGUUGGGGGGGUAAAGGCUCACCAAGCCGACGAUCUGUAGCGGGUCUGAGAGGACGACCAGACAGACUGGGGCUGAGACACGGCCCAGACUCGUACGGGAGGCAGCAGUGGGGAAUUUUGGACAAUGGGCGCAAGCCUGAUCCAGCAAUGCCGCGUGCAGGAAGAAGGCCUUCGGGUUGUAAACUGCUUUUGUACGGAACGAAAAGGCUCUGGAUAAUACCUGGGGCUCAUGACGGUACCGUAAGAAUAAGCACCGGCUAACUACGUGCCAGCCGCCGCAGUAACAC